UACGUUAACAUUGGUUCCCAGGGGAAACU
rnacentral:piRNA from 1 species